GCUGCAGAGGUGGGAUGGCUUUAAUGAUUGGUUGGCACAGAACGGCGCUUAUCUCUUUAAGAAAUGGAAAUGAGGUCUAAUUAGCAUAUACUGGUUGCAAUUAGCAUAUAAGUCCCGUUCAGGGACUUGGAGGAAGGAAAAGGACCAAGCAGCAACUUAAUGGGAUUUUAUUAGACAAAAUUAGCCACCGCUGAACAGUCAUAAAAAUAUCUAAAUUAUUAGUAGCUCGGCAAUUUAUCCUCCUCGCUCGGUGUUUGAAGAAAGAAGUAGUUCCUGCGAGCCUCGUCUACUGAACCAAAGUGGGACUUCUGUGCUGGGUCCAGCAGAAACUUAUCUAACUAGUAGGUGCGGGUGCUGUGGCACUGCGAGUGGGAUGGCACCAAGGAUUCUCCUCCUUAGCUUUUUAUGAAGCAGUGUGGAAGUGUCCCAAACAUCGCAAGGGGCAGCUUGAGUUCUUGAUACAUGUCCAUGGCUGUGUUUACUGAAAGCAGGACCAAAGGACAACCAGGGAAACACAGUAAUGCGCUCCUUAGGGGUCAGGUUCCUAGUGUUUAUUUAUAAGUGGUGCAUUUUGUUACGUUAUAUAUGUGCGUAACUCUAUAUAAAAGGUCAGGUUUGUCUUAGCUUGGCAGAAGAAUUGUAGAGGCUAAUUUAACAUAAGAUUAGAAAAAGAAAAAAAUAAAACAGAUAAAAGUAAUCUUAAAUGGUUGGUAUAGCCCACCCUGCUGCCCAUUUUGGAACAGGAUUUUGAACAACUUCUACAUUUCAUCUGUUUGAUAUGUUCACAGCACGGUGAGUGUCUCUGAAAUGUUGACUGUGGUGCCUGAUGAGGAGCCCAAUUUACAUAUUCUCAAUUUAAUCUAAAGUAGGUGCUAAUUGAUUACUGCUGAAUGUCAGCACGCUCUGAUUAUCUGUUCAAGAUGCUCUGGAAAAAGAAAAAAAAUCUACAACCCGGAGCUGCAAGUACAAAGAGGGGGGUUGAAUUCAGUACACCAUGGAAAGACUGUUUACUCUUUUACCUGAUAUUACAUAAAGGUUUUAAUUAUCCAGGCCAGAAGCUGUUGAGUGACUACUGCUUUGCCAUGUCCUUCCACAGCAGGUCUUACAUCUCCCCUAGAUGGAACAACCCAAAUUGCUUAGAGCCUGGUGAAAGCACUGCUGCAUCCCUAAGUCCAGCAAAGUCGGCUCUGAUCCUGUCUGCAGCUGCCCCUAGCUCUCCCUCAUAGCAGGUUUUUGCAUCCUGUCUCUGCCUUACAACCCACUCCUGUUGGUGUCCCCAGCUCCUUGUCACACUGCCAUACUUCCAUGGUGCCCAGGUGUAGGUAUGGGGACCUGCUUCCACCUUGCCCCUGGCCAAGCCAUCGGGGCUGUUUUUUCCCCAGGGACAUGAGGCACAGAUGUGCCUGGGAUGGUGUUGUUCCUGUCCCUGCUCAGCUCGAGUCAUCAGGAGAAGAUGAGCCAUUCCUCACCAGGAGGGACACCUCCACCAGGUCGCAGCCUUUGGUCCUGCUCUCCCGUUGUGCUCAGAAGCACAAACCCCGUGGCUGAUGGAGCUGGGAGAGCAGGGAGAAGAGCAGAGCUGAGGGCUCGGUAGUGACUCUCCCCUACUCUCCCCAUCCUCAUCUCCAUGCCUGCUCCCCUGGGUGACCUGCCUGAGUCUGGAGACUGCAUCUUUGGAGGGACCCCAGAGAAGGAAGCCCGUAGCCCUGGGCACAGAAUGGCUCCGUGGGCUGGGGAAAGCCCCAUGCCUCCUCUGUGCUCCCAGCCAUGAGGAGUUUGCUGCGAGGGUGGUGAAAAUGAGUUGCUUUGCACCGGUAGAUCUACUGAAUAUGCAAUGAACAAUCCCGCAGCAGCCAGGAGCCCCAGCCAAGACGGAAGAUGAGACGGUGAGCUGGGAAACAAAGGUGAAGGGGAGAGGCAAUGAAAGCACAGCGCUCCGUACAAUAGCUAAAAUACAAAUCUCCGGGGACUUCGAGAUAUUGCAUGAACAUCAAUUUCGCAUGCCUAUUGUCUGAGUGGUAUUAGUGUGUGUAGGACUCCCCGCCCCCGUCUCUCCGAGCGAGGGGAGCAUCGUGGCAGAUCAGGAAAUGGCGUAAUUGAAUCAGCUCCACCACACGACGAGGUUGCAGACCAGACGGGACGAGGCACUGAAAUGGCCAGGUAUCACGAGCACCUUGGCAUCCCCCCACCCCUAAAUUACUUCUGCGAGUAAAGGAUGCGGGAUGUAAACUGCAGCGGGAGACAGUCUGGUCGUGGGUUUCAUUAGUGGUCCCUUUUGCCAUCUGUGAGACUUCAUGGCUAAGGAGCCGGAUGAAAGAGCUUUCUAGAAAAUUCUUCAGAGGAAAUACAGCUCAAAAAUGCGAGUCAUGCUUAGGCUGUUUAUGGAGAGUUUAUUUUGUGCUUAGGAGUAAAACAAAAUGCCAGUCGCUCACAGCUGUUGGCACGGUGAGAUAACACAAGUCAGAGCACACAGCCGCAGGUUGGAGGGGUACUCUUCCCAUCCCUCGCUCCCCUUUCGCCCCGACAUAAAAGUUGACAAUUAGUUUUUACUGCACAUACAUGAAGGGAGAUACAUGCUUUGGCCUCUGUGUGAGAGCAAUAAUUCUCUUAAAUUGAUGUGUCAGCGAACUAAAACUCAAUAUUUUUUUCGCACAGUGUAUUUUGCAGUCAGAGGACCUUCACUAAUCGGAAUAAAGCAAUUUGGCUCCCUGUCAUUGCUCACUGAAAACAUAUGAGCUGGUUGGCACGUAUGGCCUCCCAGAUUUAUCAGUGUCUCCCAUCUAGUGCAUGGGAGGUUCAGGGCUGCAGCUCAGAGAGGAGUGAAUUUUUAUGAAUGCUUUUUUCCCCUCCCUGAGAAUUCCCAGAGCUAGAUUUAUUCCUCAGUUUCAGAAAUGUUUUAUUUAUUGUCCGUAUCCCAUAUCCUCUUUAGGUCAAAUCGAAGUCAUAUUUUACAUUUUUGAUUUGUAUUGCUAUGUCUUUAUUGCUUUGCUCAUUUAAAAAGAAAAAAAAAAAAAAAAAAAAAACACAGCCCCAAAUCUGGGAGAAGUACUAUUCCCAUGGCUCUCCUUUUCUUUAGUACCACGAUAUGAACACACUCAGCUGUCCUUUCAGUGGGACCCUCAUAAAAAUGUCUUGCUGCAUCUUCCAUCAGGUUCACCAAGGGCCAGCUUUGGUGCCGUGUCUUUGUCACACUGCCUUUGAGGAAGCCCUCACCUUGCUCCCAGCUGUCCUGGUGCAGCUUACAGCAGUGCUCUGCCAGGACAGGUGGGAUACCCGUGUUUUAACAACCAGCCUGUGCAGCCUGAUGGCACCAAAAUGUGCCCUUUUCCUCACCCUCCCUGGCCAUGUACGCCGCCU